AACAUCCUACGGGGGGCAGCAGUAGGGAAUCUUCCACAAUGGGCGAAAGCCUGAUGGAGCAACGCCGCGUGGGUGAAGAAGGUCUUCGGAUCGUAAAACCCUGUUGUUAGAGAAGAAAGUGCGUGAGAGUAACUGAUCACGUUUCGACGGUAUCUAACCAGAAAGCCACGGCUAACUACGUGCCAGCAGCGGCGGUAAUACGUAGGUGGCAAGCGUUAUCCGGAUUUAUUGGGCGUAAAGGGAACGCAGGCGGUCUUUUAAGCCUGAUGUGAAAGCGUGCGGCUUAACCGGAGGAGU
rnacentral:rRNA from 1 species